rnacentral:lncRNA from 1 species
CAGCGCUGCAUUGAGCUGCCCUGGCCCCCUCUGCCCUCCCCAUAAGCAAUGCUGGGACCUGGCCUUCCUGUGGCAGCCCCUCCCCUGCUGGGCUACGUGGUUCAGGGACAGGACGCCCUGGCCCCUUGGCCCUACAGCUCAGUCACAGGUCAGUGGGCCGUGCUGGUGCUCUCUGUUCAGACCUCCAGGGCCUGAGCUCCUGAGAUGCCGGGUGCUGACCAGGCCUGUCAGGGAUCUUCCCAGCCACUGGGCCAGGAUGCCAGGGCGUGCUGGAGCCUGCCUGUCUAAUGCCUGGCUCAACCAAGCUGCUUCAGGUACUGGGGAGCAAUGGUGUGUGUGCUUCAGAGCAGAGGAGGGGGCAAGUCAGAUGUGUGUUUGAGAUGCUCUCUUGGCAGCCAGGAUGGAGACAAGAAAAGGGUGAAUUUGAGAGUUGAGGAUUUAUCAAACUUCCAGCAGUUAAGUCCCUGGGAAACAGCACCAAAAGAGAGAUAAUAAAGGAACCAAAAGAAGAAACCACACAGGAGCAGAUGGAGGCACCAACUGCAUAAAGAAUGGUGACUGCACACAGGCAAGAUGCGCACAGCAGGUGGGAAACUUCUGUAACAAGUAUGUCCACAGGCAGAUCACCUUUACCUGUGAGGAGCUUGUGUGCACGAGGGCAACCUCGCAGCAGCGACGCCCACCACAGAAUGCUGAUGGCUCAAUCCCAGCAGAAGUUUAUUU